AGCAGCCAGAAGGUGCACCUGGGAUUCUAUGCACAUCUCCUUCUGACCAUGGGGAUCUUCAAGAACUCCAGUCUUCUCAGCCUCUAAGACAGGCACCAGUGUCCCCUCAUCAGUCCUUCUUCCCUACGGCUCCUCUGCGAACCUUCCCCACUCCCUGAAGGUGGCUGUCCCAUGCUCUCCCUACCUCCUGCUGCGGCUCUGUCCAUAUGGGGGGAGUGCAGAAACAAAGGCACACAGAGAUGGAGCUACCCACUGCCUCAGGAGCCGCCGCACAUUUCUCAGAGCUGCCAGGCACACCAAGGAUGCCACAAUGAAAAACCCUGCUGAGGCACACAGUCAAAUGCAAAAGCCGAGCAACACUGCAAGCUCUACCUAUCACCCUUAAAAAGCCUACUGGAAGAUACAGCAGCUGAAGAUGCUGACUAACACUGCCAUCCAACUGAUCUGUAAUUUUCAGAGUAUUUAGAGCAUAUCUAACAGCUUUAAGUUGCAGAACAAAUGCAUCCUGGCAGUCAGAAAUUAUGAAAAAUUUGGUCAUUUUCCCAAGCAAAAAUGUUUAGAAACAACGUAGGAGGAUAGCGAUCUUUCUGGCAACUGACACUGUUAAAGUAAACAAUGAUUCAAUCUUUUAAUUUGUCAUCUCCAAUCUAAUAAUUUAAAUAAAUUAAGUAACUUUUUCAA